rnacentral:rRNA from 1 species
UGAGUGCUAGGUGUCAGGGGUUUCAAUACCCUUGGUGCUGAAGUCAACACAUUAAGCACUCCGCCUGGGGAGUACGGCCACAAGGCUGAAACUCAAAGGAAUUGACGGGGGCCCGCACAAGCAGUGGAGCAUGUGGUUUAAUUCGAAGCAACGCGAAGAACCUUACCAGGGCUUGACAUCCCGGUGCUACUUCUAGAGAUAGAGGGUUCCUUUUGGACACCGGUGACAGGUGGUGCAUGGCUGUCGUCAG